rnacentral:lncRNA from 1 species
GGCCCGUACUGGAAAAACAUUAGGUAUAGAAAGCUAUGCAAGCUUUUCGACUCAUGCAGAAGACCAAAAAUUUGACAAAUUAGUAGAUCCUAAAAUAAAGAGAACAGAUAUCCACUAAUAAAGAUCAAGUUUCAGCUGACAGUGCUAAAAUAGUGAUUCCUGCUUGCUUCAGGCUUCUGUAAGUUAAUAGAUUGCGAAAUAAACAAUCCAAUCUCCUAUCUUGGUUAAAGCUAAAAAGCACCUGGUACUAUUUUAGCCUCUCUCUUUUUUAAUUUUUCAGCA